GGGAGGCAGCAGUGGGGAAUAUUGCACAAUGGGCGCAAGCCUGAUGCAGCCAUGCCGCGUGUGUGAAGAAGGCCUUCGGGUUGUAAAGCACUUUCAGUCGUGAGGAAGGUAGUGUAGUUAAUAGCUGCAUUAUUUGACGUUAGCGACAGAAGAAGCACCGGCUAACUCCGUGCCAGCAGCCGCGGUAAUACGGAGGGUGCGAGCGUUAAUCGGAAUUACUGGGCGUAAAGCGCAUGCAGGUGGUUUGUUAAGUCAGAUGUGAAAGCCCGGGGCUCAACCUCGGAAUAGCAUUUGAAACUGGCAGACUAGAGUACUGUAGAGGGGGGUAGAAUUUCAGGUGUAGCGGUGAAAUGCGUAGAGAUCUGAAGGAAUACCGGUGGCGAAGGCGGCCCCCUGGACAGAUACUGACACUCAGAUGCGAAAGCGUGGGGAGCAAACAGGAUUAGAUACCCUGGUAGUCCACGCCGUAAACGAUGUCUACUUGGAGGUUGUGGCCUUGAGCCGUGGCUUUCGGAGCUAACGCGUUAAGUAGACCGCCUGGGGAGUACGGUCGCAAGAUUAAAACUCAAAUGAAUUGACGGGGGCCCGCACAAGCGGUGGAGCAUGUGGUUUAAUUCGAUGCAACGCGAAGAACCUUACCUACUCUUGACAUCCAGAGAACUUUCCAGAGAUGGAUUGGUGCCUUCGGGAACUCUGAGACAGGUGCUGCAUGGCUGUCGUCAGCUCGUGUUGUGAAAUGUUGGGUUAAGUCCCGCAACGAGCGCAACCCUUAUCCUUGUUUGCCAGCGAGUAAUGUCGGGAACUCCAGGGAGACUGCCGGUGAUAAACCGGAGGAAGGUGGGGACGACGUCAAGUCAUCAUGGCCCUUACGAGUAGGGCUACACACGUGCUACAAUGGCGCAUACAGAGGGCGGCCAACUUGCGAAAGUGAGCGAAUCCCAAAAAGUGCGUCGUAGUCCGGAUUGGAGUCUGCAACUCGACUCCAUGAAGUCGGAAUCGCUAGUAAUCGUGGAUCAGAAUGCCACGGUGAAUACGUUCCCGGGCCUUGUACACACCGCCCGUCACACCAUGGGAGUGGGCUGCAAAAGAAGUAGGUAGUUUAACCUUCGGGGGGACGCUUACCACUUUGUGGUUCAUGACUGGGGUGAAGUCGUAACAAGGUAGCGCUAGGGGAACCUGGCGCUGGAUCACCUCCUUA
rnacentral:rRNA from 1 species